rnacentral:rRNA from 1 species
CACUAACGAAGCAGAGAUGCCUUAGGUGCCCGAAAGGGAAAGUGGACACAGGUGCUGCAUGGCUGUCGUCAGCUCGUGUCGUGAGAUGUUGGGUUAAGUCCCGCAACGAGCGCAACCCUUGUCUCUAGUUGCUACGCAAGAGCACUCUAGAGAGACUGCCGGUGACAAACCGGAGGAAGGUGGGGAUGACGUCAAGUCCUCAUGGCCCUUAUGGGUAGGGCUUCACACGUCAUACAAUGGUGCGUACAGAG